UACGGGGGGGGCAAGCGUUGUUCGGAAUUACUGGGCGUAAAGGGCUCGUAGGUGGCCAACUAAGUCAGACGUGAAAUCCCCAGGCUCAACUUGGGAACUGCGUCUGAUACUGGAUGGCUUGAAUUCGGGAGAGGGAUGCGGAAUUCCAGGUGUAGCGGUGAAAUGCGUAGAUAUCUGGAGGAACACCGGUGGCGAAGGCGGCAUCCUGGACCGGCAUUGACGCUGAGGCGCGAAAGCUAGGGGAGCAAACAGG
rnacentral:rRNA from 1 species